AGUCGAACGGCAGCACAGUAAGAGCUUGCUCUUAUGGGUGGCGAGUGGCGGACGGGUGAGGAAUACAUCGGAAUCUACUUUUUCGUGGGGGAUAACGUAGGGAAACUUACGCUAAUACCGCAUACGACCUACGGGUGAAAGCAGGGGACCUUCGGGCCUUGCGCGAUUGAAUGAGCCGAUGUCGGAUUAGCUAGUUGGCGGGGUAAAGGCCCACCAAGGCGACGAUCCGUAGCUGGUCUGAGAGGAUGAUCAGCCACACUGGAACUGAGACACGGUCCAGACUCCUACGGGAGGCAGCAGUGGGGAAUAUUGGACAAUGGGCGCAAGCCUGAUCCAGCCAUACCGCGUGGGUGAAGAAGGCCUUCGGGUUGUAAAGCCCUUUUGUUGGGAAAGAAAUCCAGCCGGCUAAUACCUGGUUGGGAUGACGGUACCCAAAGAAUAAGCACCGGCUAACUUCGUGCCAGCAGCCGCGGUAAUACGAAGGGUGCAAGCGUUACUCGGAAUUACUGGGCGUAAAGCGUGCGUAGGUGGUUGUUUAAGUCUGUUGUGAAAGCCCUGGGCUCAACCUGGGAACUGCAGUGGAAACUGGACAACUAGAGUGUGGUAGAGGGUAGCGGAAUUCCCGGUGUA
rnacentral:rRNA from 1 species